GACGAACGCUGGCGGCGUGCCUAAUACAUGCAAGUUGAGCGCUGAAGGUUGGUACUUGUACCGACUGGAUGAGCAGCGAACGGGUGAGUAACGCGUGGGGAAUCUGCCUUUGAGCGGGGGACAACAUUUGGAAACGAAUGCUAAUACCGCAUAAAAACUUUAAACACAAGUUUUAAGUUUGAAAGAUGCAAUUGCAUCACUCAAAGAUGAUCCCGCGUUGUAUUAGCUAGUUGGUGAGGUAAAGGCUCACCAAGGCGAUGAUACAUAGCCGACCUGAGAGGGGGAUCGGCCACAUUGGGACUGAGACACGGCCCAAACUCCUACGGGAGGCAGAAGUAGGGAAUCUUCGGCAAUGGACGAAAGUCUGACCGAGCAACGCCGCGUGAGUGAAGAAGGUUUUCGGAUCGUAAAACUCUGUUGGUAGAGAAGAACGUUGGUGAGAGUGGAAAGCUCAUCAAGUGACGGUAACUACCCAGAAAGGGACGGCUAACUACGUG
rnacentral:rRNA from 1 species